rnacentral:ncRNA from 1 species
UUUGAAAAAGCUAAACCUAUCGUGAGGUAGGGGCGGAAAGCCACAGGUCUUAAAAAAAGAGACAGCUGGGUUGCCAAAA